UACGUAGGGGCAAGCGUUGUCCGGAAUCAUUGGCGUAAAGCGCGUGUAGGCGGCUUGGUAAGUCUGCUCUGAAAGCCGGGCUCAACCCGGAGGCGGUGGAUACUGUCCAAGCUCGAGUCCGGAAGAGGAGUGUGAAUCUGGUGUAGCGUGAAUGCGCAGAUAUCGAGAGACACAUGCGAGCAGCACUCUGACGUACUGACGCUGAGACGCGAGCGUGGAGCGACAGAUUAGAACCGUGUAUCAGACGAG
rnacentral:rRNA from 1 species